rnacentral:tRNA from 1 species
AAGGGAGACCUAAUUCGGGUAUAAGACGAAAAAAGAGUAGUCGAAACCAAGAAUCAAUCCCAAAAGGUCGGAACGAGGUAUGUGGCUUUCAAACUAGGUUCUGGGUUCACACAAGACCUGAAUCAGGAACAAGGGCUAUUAGCUCAGGUGGUUAGAGCGCACCCCUGAUAAGGGUGAGGUCCCUGGUUCGAGUCCAGGAUGGCCCACCUGCACAGGUGGCAAAAACAAAGAAGCGAGGAAUCAGCACCUUAUCUUAUCUAUAUAUAAGAGAGAAUGCUGGCUCUGAGUAAAGAGUCCAGAGGAACCUUGAAAACUGCAUAGGGCUAGGUGAAAAAGCCAAAAAAGAAGACCGCAA